rnacentral:piRNA from 1 species
UCACUAAUUAUUUUUAGGAGGUGGAAAAA